rnacentral:rRNA from 1 species
UACGUAGGUGGCAAGCGUUGUCCGGAUUUACUGGGCGUAAAGGGUGCGUAGGCGGGUCUUUAAGUCAGGGGUGAAAUCCUGGAGCUCAACUCCAGAACUGCCUUUGAUACUGAGGAUCUUGAGUUCGGGAGAGGUGAGUGGAACUGCGAGUGUAGAGGUGAAAUUCGUAGAUAUUCGCAAGAACACCAGUGGCGAAGGCGGCUCACUGGCCCGAUACUGACGCUGAGGCACGAAAGCGUGGGGAGCAAACAGG